GGCUGCACUGUGGUGCUGUUGGGAGCACUGUUGCCUUGCAACCAGAAGGUCCUGGGUUCAAAUCCCAGCCUGUGUGUGUGCGGUCA